rnacentral:rRNA from 1 species
AGAGUUUGAUCAUGGCUCAGGACGAACGCUGACGGUGUGCUUUAGACAUGCAAGUCGAACGAGAAAGCCCUUCGGGGUGAGUACAGUGGCGAACGGGUGAGUAACACGUGGGUAACCUACCCCUCGCAGGGGGAUAACCGGGGGAAACCCCGGCUAAUACCCCGUACGCUUGCCGGGCCGCAUGGUCCGGUAAGGAAAGGUAGCUUCGGCCAUCCGGCGAGGGAUGGGCCCGCGGUGCAUUAGCUAGUUGGUGGGGUAACGGCCCACCAAGGCUACGAUGCAUAGCUGGUCUGAGAGGAUGAUCAGCCACACUGGGACUGAGACACGGCCCAGACUCCUACGGGAGGCAGCAGUCGGGAAUUUUGGGCAAUGGGCGAAAGCCUGACCCAGCAACGCCGCGUGAAGGAUGAAGUCCUUCGGGAUGUAAACUUCGGAAGAAUGGGAAGAAUAAAUGACGGUACCAUUUUUAAGCCCCGGCUAACUCCGUGCCAGCAGCCGCGGUAAUACGGAGGAUGCAAGCGUUAUCCGGAAUUACUGGGCGUAAAGAGUUGCGUAGGUGGCAUAGUAAGUUGGUAGUGAAAUGACGUGGCUCAACCAUGUGUCCAUUACCAAAACUGCUAAGCUUGAGAACGAGAGAGGUAGAUGGAAUUGCUAGUGUAGGAGUGAAAUCCGUAGAUAUUAGCAGGAACACCGAUGGCGUAGGCAGUCUACUGGCUCGUUUCUGACACUAAGGCACGAAAGCAUGGGGAGCAAACAGGAUUAGAUACCCCAGUAGUCC